GUAAUUUUUGUAUUAAGUGCGCGAAAUGAGUGUUUUUUUAAUGGCGCCUGAGAAUGUUAUUUUAGUCGAGACCGCCAGGUCGAGACCUAAAAGACAUUCGAAGGCGCCAUUAAAACAUGAAUUUCGCCACGAAAUACAAACAACGUUUUUUCUACAGCCUCCAGAUGAAGAAAAAAGUAACAGAAAUUAGUUGGAACAAAAUGGUCUGAUAAAUCGAGUUGCUUGCAUGGUUACGAUGAUAAAUAAAAGUGAUAGUUGCGAAAAAUUUGUCACAAUAGGUAUUUUUGUUGAAGAAGUGUGAUGGAUUUUAGCAGCGAAAACGAAAUAGAUGCAAUUGCAAGCGCGGCAGUGUCGAAUCUUUUGCCUGCUAAAUCAAGACCGCAGUACGAAAAAACGUAUCUUCAGUUUCGGCAGUGGUGUUCUAUGAAAAAGAUUGAUCAAGUAACGGAAAAUGUUUUGUUGGCGUAUUUGGAAGAAAAGUCUACCACCUUAAAGCCACCAACACUCUGGGCCCUUUAUGCGAUGUUGAAAGCCACCUUAAACGUUAAAGAGAAUAUCGAUACACGUAAGUUUCCGAAGUUAGUGCCCUACCUGAAAAGCAAAAGCGUAGGUUACAGAAGCAAGAAGUCGCAAAUUUUAGACAAAGAAGACAUUAGCAAGUUUAUUAAUGAAGCAGAUGACAAGAUAUAUUUACUGAUGAAGACUGUGCUAAUUUUGGGUAUAUCGGGAGCCCUUCGACGUGAAGAAUUAGUUAAAAUGAAGCUAACUGACAUAGAAGAUAAACAGUCUGUCUUAAUUGUGAAGGUGCCUGAUACAAAAACCCACUGCGAACGAAUAUUUACUGUUUCAAAUUUAGAAAAUAUAGAAAUUGUCAGAAAAUAUAGAGCUUUGCGGCCUCCACGGGCGACUAGUGACCGUUUAUUUUUAAGGAUGUGGCUAUUUAUACAUACUGUAUGUAUACGCAAUUGGCUAUUUAUACAUACAGUAUGUAUACGCAAUUGGCUAUUUAUACAUACUGUAUGUAUAAGAAAUUGGCUAUUUAUACAUACAAUAUGUAUAAGAAAUUGGCUAUUUAUAGUUACGUAUAACGUACUAACUAAUCAAAAAGUUUAUUGAUAUUAAUAUUUUAAUAAAAACUACAUAAUUAUAGAAAAAUAUUGUUUUAUUUAUUGUUUAUUGUUACAAUAUACUUGGGUAUUUAUUUUAUUUUUUAUUUCGUGUUUUAAUUUGCUUCUUGUAAAACUGAAUCUGUUUAGUUUUUCUCUUCGGACGUCCUUUAGACUUAAUUUUUGUUUUAAAUUUUAGGUUUUCAUUUGAUUGAUGAUUUGUAUCGGAUUCGUUCUGACUUUCAGUACCAACUAAGCUAUCCUGGCAACUUCCAGCUUCAACUAAGUUACUUGUCUCAAAUUCUAUUGAACUAAUUGUAGGUUCACUAUACUCAUUCUCAAACAGAGAAACCCCAUUUCUAGCAUUUUUUUCAAUUAAUUUUAGUUCGUUCAUAUAUUUGUUAAAGGUUGUAGUUCCAUAAUUUGAUAAAAUAUCUGCGAUAUUUUUUGUUACUGUCAGUGCUGUAUUGAAUUUUUCUCGAUCCGAUAAUACUUUUUGACAACCAUCGAAUUCAUCCUUGUCUAUAUCAUCAAUGUCUACGUCAUUCGUGUCUUCAUCAUCGAUAUCCAUAUUCAUAAUACUUUCUGUAUUUCCAACUGAAGUAAUGUAUCUUGGAUGGAAACAUGUUUUUGAAAAAAUAUCUAAGUUAUUGUAUUUUCUUAACAUAAAAAUAUGCCUACAUGGUGCACUGAAAGAGUUCCAAAAUGUACAUGAACAUGCUUCCAGCGACGUAUUAUAAAUCUUCGAUAUUUCAGUCUCAAGAUUUUCCUCAAUGCCAUUAGCCAUUACUUUUAUUUUAGAUUCUAAAGUUUUAAACAAUUUUAAUUGUUUAUGAAAUAAUUUCAUUCCAGUCUCUGUGAAAACUUCGGAACAUACUUCCAGCAAUUUUCUUAUUUCAUUAUCGUUAUCCAUAAUUUUAAAAACUUUUUGUUUAUUUUUGGCUAAUUUAUUCUUUAUUCUUGAAUCAAUAAAGUCUAUAAGCUCUUUAAUACAUAAAUAAAUUGUCGGCAAACUAUGAUAUUUAGUUUGUAUGUAUUGCUUAAGAGUCCAAAAUGAUCGUUCAAUUCUGUUUGUUGUCGUAUCUCCCAUUAGUAGCAAAUGUUUUCUAAAAUAAUGUACCCACAUUUCUUUACAGCUGUCCCAAUUUUUAAGAAAUUGCUCUUCAAGAGUCACGUAUUUAUCUUUUGUUCCUGCAAAAACUUUUACAGACUUGCAAAUGUGCAACAUUUUAGUUGAGGAUGGCAUUCAUAGAUGGUCACAAUCAAUAUUCUACUUUUCUAUCUGCGUUAUACGUAACUAUAAAUAGCCAAUUUCUUAUACAUAUUGUAUGUAUAAAUAGCCAAUUUUUUAUACAUACAGUAUGUAUAAAUAGCCAAUUGCGUAUACAUACUGUAUGUAUAAAUAGCCAAUUGCGUAUACAUACAGUAUGUAUAAAUAGCCACAUCCUAUUUUUAAAGUAUACCAACGGAAAAUGUGUGAAUCAAAAUGUUGGAAUUAACAAAAUCGGAGAGAUACCAAGUUUGAUUGCAAAGUGGCUUAACAAAGACGAACCUAAAAAAUAUACUGGUCACUGCUUCAGAAGAAGCUCUGCCACUCUUUUGGCGAAUGCUGGAGGUGAUCUAAUUUCAAUUAAACGUCAUGGGGGCUGGAGAAGCAGCACAGUGGCAGAAAGUUACAUCGAGGACUCUUUGAAUAAUAAAAUUGAAAUUGCCAAUAAAAUUCAACCUUCUUCCUCCACAGAAGAAAACAAAAUCACUCAACCUUCUACAUCGGCUUCUUUUAAUGGCGAAAAUAACUUUCAUUUACAAGCGUCUUCACUCAGGCCUCUGGGGAUAAACGGGGGCACGUUUUCGUCAUGCACAUUUAAUUUUCAUAUGUCAAAGUAAAUAUCUAUUAUUAUUGUUUUGUAAUAUUGUUCUGUAUAAUUAUAAAACCUUUAAAACUA